AGGAUCCCCCUUGUCAUUUCCAUAUCCAAAAUAUGUUCCUUUCAGCAGUCCAUUCAAACCCUGGGCCUGGGAUCUUCUUUGUGGCAAGUAUCCUUGGUUUCAGCCUUGGACCUUGCUUCCUCCUUUUUCUCCUUGUCCUGAUGGUUCAUCAAUGCAGAAAGAAACCAAAAUGCCAAGAAGAAGAAGAAGAGGAGCCGGGAAAUGCGACAGUCCUGCAGGAAGAGGAGCAGCCCUGUAUUCAGAUUGCUGAGUUCAGAGACUCUAGUAUCUCAGUGAAGGAAGAAUCCAUAACCCUGUACUGAAACAAGCUAUACUAUGGUCCAGGCUAGAGGCUUAGAGACCGCCAUAGUGGUACCCAGAUAGGACCAUGACACAUUGUGUCCUCCUUUUACAUAAGUUCUCCAAUAAUAAACACUUUGGUCCUACUCAAGAG
rnacentral:sRNA from 1 species